GAUGAACGCUGGCGGUGUGCCUAAUACAUGCAAGUCGAGCGAACAGACGAGGAGCUUGCUCCUCUGACGUUAGCGGCGGACGGGUGAGUAACACGUGGAUAACCUACCUAUAAGACUGGGAUAACUUCGGGAAACCGGAGCUAAUACCGGAUAAUAUAUUGAACCGCAUGGUUCAAUAGUGAAAGACGGUUUUGCUGUCACUUAUAGAUGGAUCCGCGCCGCAUUAGCUAGUUGGUAAGGUAACGGCUUACCAAGGCAACGAUGCGUAGCCGACCUGAGAGGGUGAUCGGCCACACUGGAACUGAGACACGGUCCAGACCCCUACGGGAGGCAGCAGUAGGGAAUCUUCCGCAAUGGGCGAAAGCCUGACGGAGCAACGCCGCGUGAGUGAUGAAGGUCUUCGGAUCGUAAAACUCUGUUAUUAGGGAAGAACAAAUGUGUAAGUAACUAUGCACGUCUUGACGGUACCUAAUCAGAAAGCCACGGCUAACUACGUG
rnacentral:rRNA from 1 species